rnacentral:lncRNA from 1 species
CAAAAAGCUAGGGGGCCGACUCUGAUGGUUAAUGCAGUCAGGCUGUGAUGCAGCCCUUGGUGUAAGAUGUUUUUGAAACUGAACCGCGAGGGUCGUGGUUCAGGACAGUCUGGUGGCAAGGCUGGAGACAGCUAACAUAUUCUCUUCAGGCUCCAAGCGUGAGUCUGAGCCUGGAGAUGGGGCCCAGUACUCUCAGCGUUCCUAACGGAUUCCCUGGGAAUUCUGAUAGCCAAGUUUGGAAAGCGUGGAAGUCAGAAUGUGAUGCAAUCGAGCAGGCUUCCACCUUGCUCGUUACAGUCGCAUUCCACACAUGCUUUCUGGUGACAACACCCACAUCACCCUAGGAACAUGGGUGUUCCUAACUUGUCAGAUCCUCAUGCACCCCGGGCCCUGGGAGGACGUUCCUGUCACUGGCUGCUUCUACCCUGAUUUCGUCCUCAGAGUAGCAGUCCCGAGGUUGAGUGUGACCCCAGAUCACCCCUCCCGUGGAGGUGCUUCUGCUGGGGAGGACCCGCAUGCUUGCUUGUGUUUACGCCUGGGGAAGCCCCUCUUGGCAAGAUGCUUGGAAGAGGCUCCAGAAGGCAGAGCUCAGAGGACGACUUGGUGUUUCAGAAGGAUUCACUUCAUGGUAGGAAAUUCUUUCCGAAGGAGAUGUCCACCAGCAGUGCCCAGAGUGAGCCCUGCCCAGAAAACCCCACCCCGCCGUCCCCGCACCUAGCACGAGGGAGCAGAACCACACUCCUGCACCUUCCGUGUUCCCGGCCCUCUACGUAAGCAAUCCCGUUGAAUCUUCCAAACAGCCCUGUUGACGUUGUCCUCGGUUUACCGAUGAAGAAUCAGGCCUGCAGAGCGUAAGUCAUUUGCCCAAGGUCACAUCUAAAAAGUAGUGAAGCCAGAUAGGUCCUGCUCUUCCCCACCUGCCCAGCUGUCCCCCACCCCAGAAUUAGAAAGUAGCAAGCUGAAGCUGCAUCUUGAUCUCCCUGAGGUGUCAUCAAGAAAACACAGGAGUCAGAGAUGAAGCCUCCAGCCACAGGGAAGUUUGACCCACCUCGUGCUCCAAAACCCGUUUGGGCGACACAAGGUGUGUUUCCCUCCUGAGUCAUGUUCACCACAUUUUGCCUUGAAAGAGAAACUGCUCGUGCAUCUAGAAGUAAACUUGCAAAGGCUCCCGUUUCAGCCUGAAAUUUUUUUUGUAAACCAUUUCAGCAAAUAAAGUGUCGGCGUUUGCAUGAGCAGCCUCCCAGCACAGAAGAGGAUGCACGGGGAUCUGACGCUAAGAGACAAGCUCUCCCACACGCGGCCCAGAGAGCCAGCGCCGCUCCCAGAACGCCCUCCCAGCGGGCUGCCUCUCCUGCGUCUUCCUUGUCACUUCCUGAGCAGGUGGAGCCGGAGCACAGAUGAGGAAACUGAGGCUCAGAGAGGUGAAGUCACUUGCUUCGAAGCACAAAGGGAUGGGAAGAAGGUUUUGACCCAGCCCCAGAUCUGUUCAUUGAGUGAAGGAAGAGACAGUGGCCAGUCCAGGGACACUGGGUCCAGCGGCAGCCUCCAGGGGCACCCUCUGCAGCGUGCUCCCUCGGGGACACGGAGAAGCCUGGCACCCUCCGAUGGCCCAGGGAGGACGGCCGGCCAGUCCCACGGUCCGACAGGAAGGAGGCACAACUCCUCGGCCCCCUAGAAAAUGGCCUGUGAGGAGGUGAUAAAGGCUAAACGAGGUCGGUCGUAGGAUGGGGCCCUAAAGCUAUAGAAGACGAAGAGACACCAGACCUUUCUCCGCCAUGUGAGGACGUCGUCCACAAGCCAAGAGGAGCGCUCACCAGGGACCACAUUGGCCAGCACCUUGAUCUUGGACUUACCAGCCUCUGGAACGCACAUCUGGAAUAUUUUUACAUAUCAUUGAGCAACAAGUAUUCUUCCACAAAGUUCUUUUAGUUUUCCUGCUUGAAAACCUGCGGCUCCCGGGAAUAGCCAUGCUUCACAAGAGGAGGAGGCUGAG